AUGAACCACUUCGGUGGGGAUUAGUGGCGAACGGGUGAGUAACACGUGGGCAAUCUGCCCUGCACUCUGGGACAAGCCCUGGAAACGGGGUCUAAUACCGGAUACUGACCCUCGCAGGCAUCUGCGAGGUUCGAAAGCUCCGGCGGUGCAGGAUGAGCCCGCGGCCUAUCAGCUUGUUGGUGAGGUAAUGGCUCACCAAGGCGACGACGGGUAGCCGGCCUGAGAGGGCGACCGGCCACACUGGGACUGAGACACGGCCCAGACUCCUACGGGAGGCAGCAGUGGGGAAUAUUGCACAAUGGGCGAAAGCCUGAUGCAGCGACGCCGCGUGAGGGAUGACGGCCUUCGGGUUGUAAACCUCUUUCAGCAGGGAAGAAGCGAAAGUGACGGUACCUGCAGAAGAAGCGCCGGCUAACUACGUGCCAGCAGCCGCGGUAAUACGUAGGGCGCAAGCGUUGUCCGGAAUUAUUGGGCGUAAAGAGCUCGUAGGCGGCUUGUCACGUCGGUUGUGAAAGCCCGGGGCUUAACCCCGGGUCUGCAGUCGAUACGGGCAGGCUAGAGUUCGGUAGGGGAGAUCGGAAUUCCUGGUGUAGCGGUGAAAUGCGCAGAUA
rnacentral:rRNA from 1 species